rnacentral:rRNA from 1 species
UACGAACUGUGCAAACGUUAUUCGGAAUCACUGGGCGUAAAGGGCGCGUAGGCGGGAUGGCAAGUCGGUCGUGAAAUCCUUCGGCUCAACCGAAGAACGUCGGCCGAUACUGCCGUUCUUGAGGGAUGCAGAGGAGAUUGGAAUUCCCGGUGUAGCGGUGAAAUGUGUAGAGAUCGGGAGGAACACCGGUGGCGAAGGCGGGUCUCUGGGCAUCUCCUGACGCUGAGGCGCGAAAGCGUGGGGAGCAAACGGG